rnacentral:rRNA from 1 species
CGGCGUGCUUAACACAUGCAAGUCGAACGGAAAGGCCCUGCUUGCAGGGUACUCGAGUGGCGAACGGGUGAGUAACACGUGGGUGAUCUGCCCUGCACUUCGGGAUAAGCCUGGGAAACUGGGUCUAAUACCGGAUAGGAGCCAUUUUUAGUGUGAUGGUUGGAAAGUUUUUUCGGUGUAGGAUGAGCUCGCGGCCUAUCAGCUUGUUGGUGGGGUAAUGGCCUACCAAGGCGGCGACGGGUAGCCGGCCUGAGAGGGUGGACGGCCACAUUGGGACUGAGAUACGGCCCAGACUCCUACGGGAGGCAGCAGUGGGGAAUAUUGCACAAUGGGCGCAAGCCUGAUGCAGCGACGCCGCGUGGGGGAUGACGGCCUUCGGGUUGUAAACUCCUUUCGCUAGGGACGAAGCUUUUUGUGACGGUACCUAGAUAAGAAGCACCGGCUAACUACGUGCCAGC